rnacentral:rRNA from 1 species
AGACGAACCGGACGAACGUUAUUCGGAAUCACUGGGCUUAAAGAGUGCGUAGGCGGCUUUGUAGGUUGGGUGUGAAAUCCCACAGCUCAACUGUGGAACUGCGCUCAAAACCACAAGGCUUGAGGAAGGUAGAGGUAAGCGGAACUGAUGGUGGAGCGGUGAAAUGCGUUGAUAUCAUCAGGAACACCGGUGGCGAAGGCGGCUUACUGGGCCUUUUCUGACGCUGCGGCACGAAAGCUAGGGUAGCGAACGGGAUUAGAAACCCCAGUAGUCC